CCCUGGGUGACAGAGGGGUUAAAGUGCUCAGCUGCUAACUGAAAGGUCGGUGGUUUGAACUGCUCUGAGGGA
rnacentral:tRNA from 1 species